CUUGCACUUACUACUUGUUUUGAGUUUUGUACCUUUAAGGUUAAAAGCACUUAAUUGGAAGUCGCUUUGGAUAAAAGCGUCAGCUAAAUGACCUCUUAUGUAAUAUAAUGACAUUUAAUUGUGA